GUUAUCUACCCAAGAUACACAAUGGAAUAUUAUGCUGCCAUAAAAGGAGAAAUGCAUGAGGGACUGAAGAGGAAAAUCAAGACUAUAAGAAUAUUUUAAAUUGUGUGUUUGAGUUACAGAAAGUUGUUUUGCUUGAAUCAGGAUCCAAGCAAGGGCCACAGAUUGCAUUUGGUUGUUUUCAGAAUAAUGAAUUGGUGUCCUAGCAAUCUUCAAAGGUGAGCAAUUAGUUUGUCUUUUCUUAGUAUCAUUACGAAUGAGUGGAUUUUAGCAUAUUUGUAGUCUUUAUCCUGAAUAAUUUUGCUUUGAACUCUACUUAUGAUAUUAAUAUAGAUACUUUAGCGGGUUUUUUUUACCAUUGCAUUUAUUUUUUAAAAUUGUCACAAAAUAUAUAUAACAUAAAAUUUACUCACUCAUAUAUCCUGGAAAUCCACGUUUCCUAGCCCCAACCCAAACAUCCUCAGCCACUCCAUUAACCAGCUAUUCUUAUUCUCAGACUCAGGGGAUAUAGCAUCUCAGUAUAUAAAGUCAUGAAUCCCUUUCCUUUUAGCAAGGGUACCUUGACAUAUUUAGGUCCGUGGUCCUCUGGCCAGUCUGCAUAUCCUUGUGAAAGAUUUGGACCUAAAGCGAAGGGACAUAGAGCAUUUCUCAACCGUGGGAUAUCUGGGGAGAAUUGUCAAGUGAGAAAUGGAUGGCAUCACUUAGGUAUGCCUCUCCUCUUCCUUUCCUGGUUUCCACAUCUCUAAUAAGACUGGAGUGGGAGGAGCUAUAAAAUUCUGUAACCAUAUAAAGCUACCCAAAGGAAAAGAAGGUGGACUUUCCUGAGAUAUCUCAUUCUUCUGUUGUGGUUCAGUCAUGUAGAUGAGUCUACAUGGCCAGUCUUGCUGCGUGGAAGUCCAUGGUUGUCCAGGAACCCAAAAAGUUUCUUUUCUGCCUUUUUUUUUAAAAGAAGACAAUUUAUGAUGAGUUUCUUGGAUUAGGCAUAGUAAAAUAAAGAGUUUCCUUUGGCAGACUGUAUUUUCUAAAGAAGGCCUCAAUGAUAUCACUCAUCUUGCAUGCUUUUAUUCAGUGUGGCCAUUUAUAUAACCUAUUCCUCUCGUCCAUUUCUCUUGAAAUUCGGUGAGCUCAUAACCACAGAAGUCAGCUGAGUAUGGCAGAAAGAUGCUGCAACUAAGUCCUAAGUGGUGGUGCAGCUUCUGCCUUCUUGGCUGGGAUGUUCACUGUUGGAGCCCUGCGUCGCGGUGUAGGAAGUCCAGCCACCUGUCACAGGCAUCUGGGCUUCUGAAGAUCCUCAGACAAAGUGGAGAGACCACACAGAGACAAGAAAAUCAAGCACCAGAGAAAUUGAGGAAUCUGUCUGUGGCCACGCAGGGGACUUCUGAAAUGAGAAGUUCCCAGAGUAGAAAUCUCCUGGGUACCUCAAUCCAGCAAAAGCUCCAUUCUUCAUCAUUCAUAGGCCCACUUUGGUCCUGGCUUGCAAAUCUGAGCCUGGAUUACAUCCUUCUGCAAUCACGGUGAUUGGACCAAAAAUGCAUGGCCAUGCUCCGAGAGAAAUCCCACUCUUUCUUUAGAAAUCACAGGCUCCUGUAGCAGGUUUGUCCAACAUUUCAAGUUUUGCAGGAAUUGAAUUUUGCCUGAUUCCUCAGGAGAUCUUUGAAGCAGCAACUUUCAUAUCUCUUGGGAGAACCUACAGACUUUAAUGAUUUAUAGGGUGUGAAACGGUAAAAUCAUAUUUAAGGCUGCCAACAGUAAAUGGGACAAGGGUAUGGAGUCAGGGCAGGAAUUCAUUUAAACACGGCAUAUACUGAAAACAAGCUGAAUUCUGGGGGGAAUGAACCAAAGGAGUACUGUGACAUUGUUUAUCUUUGUAGCCACUAAAAAUGUCAAAAUAUGUGUCUAUCCUGAGAGAAGUCAGUGUUGUUUGCAAACUGUACACCGACAGGGUAUCAAAUGAUUUAUGGAAUCUACACUGCAAAGUUCCUCUGCCAAUAGCAAAAUACUGCCCCAGUUGCUAGAAAGCAAACAUUUGGUGGGCUACGUAGGGCAACAUAUUCCCGUCCAUGUCUUCACCUCUGAUCAGUCUCAUAUGUUCAAUGUUCAUUGCUAGGACAAAUAUAUCUGUUGAUAAUUUCACUCUCAUGUAUAUAUGAGAUUUUUUUUUAGAAAAUAAAUCAUUUUACUGAAAUUGUUUUUCUUAUAAGAAAGAUGGUAACAAAUAUGUCAAUGAGCCUACCUAUAACAUCUGUGCAUAGUAUAUAAAUAGGGAUUUACUACUGUACCCCUUUGUACUACUCUGCAUAUUUUCCUAUUUUUCAAAAUCAAAAUAACUUUUAAAAAAAUGCCACAAAAGCAACUAAGAACUGAAAGCAGUUAAAACCUGUUCCUUAGUCUUAGGGUGAAAAGGUGCUAACUAGGAUGAGGCAGGUCAGUGUCAGAAAUUGCCCCUGGACAAAGCAAAUCCUGGGUUUGCAGAAAGCCAACAUCCAGAUGUGGGUGAACAGGAUAUGCAACAAAAUCAUCCUCCCUCCUGGAGGCCAGACCAGUCUUCUGAGAACAGCUUUUCAUCAUUU